rnacentral:rRNA from 1 species
AUUGAACGCUGGCGGCAUGCUUUACACAUGCAAGUCGAACGGCAGCGCGGGCUUCGCUCUCGCGGCGGGUGGCGAACGGGUGAGUAAUGCAUCGGAACGUGCCCAGUAGCUGGUGCUAGGGCGGCGAAAGCCGGAUUAAUACCCCAAACGAGCUGAGGGUGUAAGCGGGGGACCGAAAGACCUUGCGCCAUUGCACGAGCCGAUGUCGGAUUAGCUAGUUGGUGGGGUAAAGGCCUACCAAGGCGACGAUCCGUAGCUGGUCUGAGAGGACGACCAGCCACACUGGGACUGAGACACGGCCCAGACUCCUACGGGAGGCAGCAGUGGGGAAUUUUGGACAAUGGGGGCAACCCUGAUCCAGCCAUGCCGCGUGGGGGAAGAAGGCCUUCGGGUUGUAAACCGCUUUUGUUCGGGAAGAAAAGCUCUGGGCUAAUACCCCGGUGGGAUGACGGUACCGAAAGAAUAAGCACCGGCUAACUACGUG